rnacentral:rRNA from 1 species
GACAGAGGGUGCAACCGUUGUUCGGAAUUACUGGGCGUAAAGCGUGUGUAGGCGGUCUCUUAAGUCGGAUGUGAAAGCCCCGGGCUCAACCCGGGAAGUGCACUCGAAACUGGGAGGCUAGAGUACUGGAGAGGUUGGUGGAAUUCUCGGUGUAGAGGUGAAAUUCGUAGAUAUCGAGAGGAACACCGGUGGCGAAGGCGGCCAACUGGACAGAUACUGACGCUGAGACACGAAAGCGUGGGGAGCAAACAGG